rnacentral:rRNA from 1 species
AUUGAACGCUGGCGGCAUGCCUUACACAUGCAAGUCGAACGGUAACAGGUCUUCGGAUGCUGACGAGUGGCGAACGGGUGAGUAAUACAUCGGAACGUGCCCGAGAGUGGGGGAUAACGAGGCGAAAGCUUUGCUAAUACCGCAUACGAUCUCAGGAUGAAAGCAGGGGACCGCAAGGCCUUGCGCUCACGGAGCGGCCGAUGGCAGAUUAGGUAGUGGGUGGGAUAAAAGCUUACCAAGCCGACGAUCUGUAGCUGGUCUGAGAGGACGACCAGCCACACGGGGACUGAGACACGGCCCAGACUCCUACGGGAGGCAGCAGUGGGGAAUUUUGGACAAUGGGCGCAAGCCUGAUCCAGCCAUGCCGCGUGCAGGAUGAAGGCCUUCGGGUUGUAAACUGCUUUUGUACGGAACGAAAAGACUCUGGUUAAUACCUGGGGUCCAUGACGGUACCGUAAGAAUAAGCACCGGCUAACUACGAGCCAGCAGCCGCGGUAACAC